ensembl:lncRNA uncharacterized LOC114789764
GAGUGCGGAAGAAAAUGCUUCAUUAUCAGCUCGUUGAAAAUAAAAGGACAGACUCGGCAGUAAUAGGAAGAAGUGUUUAUAUAUAUAUACAUAUACAUAUGUUUCUACACUUACCAAAGUGUAACAGGAAGCUGCCAUCGCACCUCCACGGGUGACCACGACUACACGUUACUUAGCAACAGACGGAUUUGCUCCUGGUGUCGGGAUGAGAAACUUCAGAUGCUGAAACUGUUAACUAGAUUUUAGUUGAAGAAUAUUGAUUCAACAAAUCUUUAGCACAAUGAGCUGUCCACACAGCAGACAAAUUAAAAAAGGGGUGAGCAGCACUGGCAGCAAACACUUCAGAUCACAAGAGAAGGCCACAGUCUCCAUCAGCAACGCUGUCCCCUGUUGUGACCGCUCUGACAUGGCAGGGACGUUUCCUGCUCAACGCAAAAUGAAACGCCUGAAGACCUAUAAAGAGAGAAGCCAGAUACGAGAUGGACAGAAACUGCGCCAACGUCACCACAGCAAAGCAAAAGGACACAGCCAUGGACACAGCCGUGGACAGUCUCAGUUUCAGACUGCAGUUGCAAAGAUCUUUCCACAUCUUAAGCCCUGCAUCAUCACUGAGCGACGUCUUGUUGGACACCAAGGCUUGUUCAACCAUGAAGUUAAGUCCUUUGACAUUGAACGUCUGUUAACUAAAAGCAAGAAAGGAACACGGUCAGAUACAAGAGGGAUUCAAAACAGCAAGCACAAAAGUUCUGAUUCUCAGGUUCUAAUGUCUCCUUCUAAUGUAGGCGACUCUGAUGGAGGCAUUGAUUGCGCUGCCAGUCCUGAGAACAGCAUACAGCACCGUGCAUCACUGCACACUGCAAAUGCAGGGUCUAUACCGCAAUCUGCUGCUUGUGGACAAGCGCUUCAGAGAAAUCAUGAUGCUUUGCUUAAGCAUGUUGGGAAAAGUCUCACAUCAACUCAAAGUGAUGAGAGUCCUGAAUGUUGUGCUAAAGGUGAGGAUUCAGGAGCCUCACUCAUCAGGAAAGACUGCAUGGCUUUGUGUUCCUCAGAAAGCGACCCUGACCCCUGUUGUCCCUCGAGAACCAGUGCUGUGUCUAACUCUACAAUGAAAUCAAGAGCCAACACUGCAGUACCUGAAGUUUCAAGGACUUUUAAAGUGAAGGAGCAAUGCUCACAACAGGCUCUUAAACCCCAACCAGCUAUUCCACUGGAUCUGACCCCUGGGUCACAUCCGUCUAUAGGUGAUGGCAGUUUAACCUCAGAUGGGACACAGAGGGAGUUAUUAAGAGCAGAUUCCAAGGAGGUUUCCCGGCAGCAACAGGUAAGCAUGGUGGCAGCCCGUCUGUGUCAGUCUCUGAAAAUGCCACGCAGAAAACAUCUAUUGGAUGAGACCAGAGGGGUGCUGCUCCAAGCUUUGAGAGAAAGACACGGCGCUCAGAUUCAGGAGAACAUGCUCAAUCUACAGAGACACCUCUUUGAGCAAGGACAAAACAAUAGAGGACACAUAUCUUUGGGAAAGACCCCAGCAUUGGAUGAUCAAUGCAUAGGCACUGGACAAGAUUGCAUGGAGCAGCCACACCUUGACUCUCAAAGGAAGCCUUACUGUAACAGAAGGAGGAAGCAGCCAUGUCCACAAAGACGUUCACCACUUCCACUGGCUUUCACACCACAGCAUAGCUCUGAGCGGGCAGCACCCUGGAGUCUUAAACUGGGAGCUGAAGAGGAGGCCAUUAAGCCACCGCUGAAGACCCCAUCUUCUCUGCUCGCAAUGGACAUUCAGCACACUUUUACCUCGUCACCCUGUUCUUCGAACUGGGGCUUACAACAAAACCAGAUUUUUGGUGAAUCAAAUGUUCUGUUUGAUCAAAAGGGUAUCAAAUUUCAAGCUCAAGGUGACCAUUUGGAAUGGAGACUAAACUCAAGUUUUUUGUGCCAGUCAAAACAUUUUGAGGAUUCGUUUUCAAAGAAUUGCUCCGUGGCAUCAGAUAUACAUAUGAAAGACAAGAAUGCAAUUUUUUUUCCAGAAAACCCACAAAUUCACCAUCACUCUUCUGUUAUCCAUUCCCAGCCUUCAGCCAGUAAUAUUAACAGGUUCAACAGAGAUUUAAUGUCGUUUUAUCCUGCCUCAGAGCUGCUAGAGAUUGGGAUGUCUCCACUACUUCCUAGUCCAGAGCAUUGGUCAUACCCCAGGAUGAGGUUGUACUGACUCUUACAAAGCCAUUUUUCAUGACAAUCCCAGUUUGUCAAAAUAGUUUGCAUUUCAAAUGUUGCAAUAGCAUAUUUUCUUAUUUUCUAUAGAGGAUUGGAAGUGGCAAAUCUCAAUUAGCUUAUUACUUCUGAUCCAAGUUAGUAAACCAUUAAUAAAGACUUAAGCAAUUAUGUCCCCCA